GUAGCAAGGCUCUCAGUGGCUCAGCCAGUGGAACCUGCUGGUUAAGGAUCCCUUACCUGAAGGCUAAAGGCCCUGAAUACAAACAGAGCAGAGAGGAUGGCGGGAAAUUGCUCUGAGAGGAUGCAGGCCAAGAAAGGGACUUGUUCAUAUGAGUCCACGCGGUCACAAGCCUCAUCCAAGCUGUGAGGUGACAGAGCCCUCAAGAAUUGCGUCUCGCUCCCCCACCGUCUUCUCAAAGAGAAUAUUCACCCCAUUUUAUAGAACCAAUGGCUUGGGCUCAGGAAAAACAAUUUCUUCCCCUAGUGACCCAAGGGCAGGAAAGGAAAUUGGCCUCACUCCCAGGAUCUACUUGGUCUUCUGCGGUCAUGGACAGACAGACAGACUGCUUUCUGAGUCUUUGGUGCAAACAGUAGCAUGGUGAGGAGAAUCCUAGGAGAGGUAUCUUCUAGAAUUUUCCAUUUCCAAAAGCCAUUGUCCUGUCACAAACACUCAAGAUGAAAGAAUUAGAAGUAACUUAGGACUUUAGAAACGGCAACCAAGUCCUGAAGCUAAGAAACAAGUUGUUUUUAUCUACAAAUUCACAGAGGAUCUCCUUCACAUAGGGGCCUACACACGUGAUAACCUCUUGGACCUGGACCCUUUGCUACCCAGACACAGAGCACAGCACAGUCAGAAGAUCGGAAUUCACAGACCGCACCACUCCUUUCCUGGCCCCAUGGCCCGAAGACAAAUGAACACAUUUCUCCAACACUCAGUUAAUUAUUUGAUAAAGAUAGAGAUUUCUGUUCAAAUGAGGUCCUCACUGCAAUGCCAAAGGUGUUUGAUAAAACCGAAGAAUGAAAAUUUCCUUAAGCAAGCCGUACCGAGUGCAGGAGAGGUGUCAGCACGGGUCCUGGCCCAAGUUCACAGGUAUAGGAACCAAGGCCCAGAGAGUACAGAGCUGCCGUUCGGGAACUGCUCUCCUCACUAUACAGCCCGGUCAGAAUCAACUCUUCAACAAGGUUCACGUUCCACGCCGUUUAUUAUCCACGGGAAGAGCUUGCUGAGGACACCUCGUUCAAGGAGCACCCCCGGAUCUCUAUGCUGUGGAGAACUCACGCUCUCACCCUUUGAUUAGCAUAGUGUCUCAGAACGCCAGACUCUGAAGGCGAGGACGAGUGGCCCCCACCAGACUUCGUUAAGAAACACCAAACAAAAAUUUCAGGUGACAUGGAUCAAUAACCAGUGAUGGAUACUCUCUGCACUUGUGUUGAAUGCUCAUCUUUCAUCCGAGGCUGUGAAAUACAGUGGAGGAAAGAGGCCGAAUCCUGAGGGCAGCAAUGCAGCUGGGAUGUUUCAACCUGGGCGAGUCCUUGAAAAAUGCUGGGAAAUGUUAGUUUUGAAGAAAGAAAGAACGAGUACUAGACAGGGAGCUGGAGAGAUUGCUCGGCCGUUAAGAGCGCUGGCUGCUCUUUCAAAGGACCCUGCAGUACCCACAUGGCAGGUCACAACUGUCUGGACCUCCCAGUCCCAGCGGGUCUAGCAACCUCACACAGACACACAUGCGGGCAAAACACUAACACAUACAAAAUAAAAAUAAAUAAGUCAUUUAAAUUUUUUUUUUAAAAAAGCAGAAGGCCCUUGAUGGAGUUCAUAAUUUGAUUAUUUCCCUGUUGCCGUUAAUCUUGCCCUACCCAAGGUGUGGAUGGCAGCCCGACUUUCAGAAUUGUGUGGUCUGAGUGAGAACGGACCCCAUAGGCUCACUUAUUUGAAUGCUUGGUCCCUUGUUUGUGGGACAGUUUUGAAAGGGUUAGGAGGUGUGGCCUUGUUUGCGGAGGCGUGUCACUGGGGGUGGGCUUUGAGGUUUCAGAGCCCCAUGGUGUCCCCAGUUAGCUUUCCCUCUGCCUCUUGCCCAGGGAUCAGCGUUAGC